rnacentral:rRNA from 1 species
AGCGUACGCUGGGGGCAGGCCUAACACAUGCAAGUCUAACGAAGUCUUCGGCCUUAGUGGCGGACGGGUGAGUAACACGUGGGAACGUGCCUUUCGGUUCGGAAUAACUCAGGGCAACUUGUGCUAAUACCGAAUGUGCCCUUUGGGGGAAAUAUUUAUCGCCUUUAGAGCGGCCCUGGUCUGAUUAGCUAGUUGGUGAGGUAAAGGCGCACAAAGGCGACGAUCAGUAGCUGGUCUGGGAAGAUGAUCAGCCACAUUGGGACUGAGACUAGGGCCAAACUCCUACGGGAGGCAGCAGUGGGGAAUCUUGCGCAAUGGGCGAAAGCCUGACGCAGCCAUGACGCGUGAAUGAUGAAGGUCUUAGGAUUGUAAAAUUCUUUCACCGGGGACGAUAAUGACGGUACCCGGAGAAGAAGCCCCGGCUAACUUCGUGCCAGCAGCCGCAGUAACAC